GUGCCGGAGGGCUGUGGAAGCGAUAAGCUUCCGGAAGAAGGGGGCGACGAGAAGCUUCCUGAGGAGGAAGGCGGCGAGAAGCUGCCUGAAGAAACACCUAAAGAUUUCCAAAAUCCAGGGAAUACUUUAGAGAAGAUUGAAGAUGUGCCAGAAAAGGCAAUCUCUGAGGUGCGGGCGAGUGCUUCCCAGGUUUCAUCGGGAAGUGUCGUGCCGCAAGAGAAGCUAAAGCUUGCCUUCAAGCUGCUGGGGGUUAGUAGUCGAGUAUCUCGAGUACGUAUGUAUAGAUCGAGUAGUGUAUACUGAUUCUUUUGUUUUUACUUUAUGGUAAGAGGUAUUGGGGCAGGAGGGUAGCCAAGCCCAGGACGAUUCAGAGCUAAAUGCUUUAAGAGAGCGAGUGAAAACGCUCUCGUCCGAGAAGGCUGCCAUUCACGAGAAGAUCAAGAAACUCUCCAAAGCCAAGAAAGAUGAAAUCGAGAAGCUCAAGAAGAUCAAGGCGGAUUCUGACCAAGAGGUGGCAACUUGUCUUCAGCAGCUCAAAACUUUGUCAGAAUCCCGAGACUUGAUGCAGCAAGAGCUUGAAGAACUCAGAGAUGCUGCUCAAGAUGUGGCAGGACUUGUGGAGAUCCCGGAGGGGAAUGAAGAUGAACCGCUUACGCUGGUGGGGAGGCUUCGGAAAGUACCCGAGAGCUUCGAAAGGUACGUCUCCACAACCACCUGACAGUACAUGGGACAUGUACUCGGGUUGGUGAGGUCCUACUGGCCACGUACUCCCCUUGAUCCACAUGGGAAGGGCGCGAAGGCUGACUAUACUGAUGAACAAUUCAAUCAGUAAUGGAAGAAACCUCCGCUGUAGCAGACCAGAUAGUGGAGACUUUGAACAAGUCUGGGUCUCCCUGAACUACUUGUGAAAAUUGUUUGGCGUGUGGGCCACAAGUACUUUGAACAAAUGUUUAAUAUUUGUGUAAUGUCAAGUACUUGUUUUAUGGUAGGAUU